GGGGGUGACCGGUUUUGACAGCAGGCAGAGUUUGAUUGUAAGCACGCCGAGUCUUGUGUGGGGUCUCGUAAAUCAGAAUGCUCAAAUUUCAAAUGGCGAUAAUAGCUAUGCACUUGCUGCUUAAUUUUACCAAGUAAAAUCUAGCUUAAUCCUUGGACCCUAGGUGGUCUGAAGACGAGUAUCCUUCUUAAUUCACCCGCUCUUUGUGAGUUAAGAGUUUAGGAUAUCAAAAAUGAAGAGAUAGUUUCAUAGCCUGUUCGGACUAUGUUGCGAAAUAAACGAACUGGGAUUUGUAUUAGGUCGCCGUCAGCCAGAUAUGAAUAGAAGGAUUAAUUGAUUGGCUAAGCGUGUAGAAAGCUUUUGUGCUCCUUGUUUGGACGAGGGUUCGACUCCCUCCAUCUCCAC
rnacentral:tmRNA from 1 species